rnacentral:rRNA from 1 species
AAAAACAUAUUUAAUAGACUUUAUUAUUAAUACAUCCUGCUCAAUGAAAUUUAAAUAGCCGCAGUUCAUACUGUGCUAAGGUAGCAUAAUCAUUUGUCUUUUAAUUAAAGACUAGAAUGAAAGGAUAAACAUUUAAAUCAUUAUUAAAACAAUCACUUUUUAAUCUAUUUUAAAUGUAAAAACACAUUUAUAAAAAAGAUAGACGAAAAGACCCUAUUGAACUUUACUAUUGUUUAACUGGGGCAGUUAAUCAAUAAUCAUUUUAAUACUUUUAUUUUUAAAAAAUGACCCAAUAUAAUUGAUAACAUGACCAAGUUACCAUAGGGAUAACAGCGUAAUAUUUUUCUAUAGCUCUUAUAUAAAAAAAUGAUUGCGACCUCGAUGUUGAAUUAAUUAUUCUAAUAGAUGCAACAAUUUAAAAAGAAAGUCUGUUCRACUUGUAAUAAAUUACAUGAUCUGAG